CGAAGCACAGGUGAUUUGUCUGAGUUACAAAGCACAGCUUGUGACAAUAGACACCGAGCAAAAAGCGGAUUUCCUGAUUCGCACUAUCGUCGACAGCAGUUUAGAGCCCGAGGACUUUUGGAUAGGAGCCCAAGCCGACGAAAACGGAAUUUGGUAUUGGGUCUCUAAUAAGAAAAUUUUGAGUUUGGAAAAGGAUUUAUACGGAAGGUAUUCCCCGUGGUAUCCGAAUUCGUCAACAACUGAGGCUCAAUGUCUAACAAUUGACCGGAACAAUCACGCCUUGCCGAUUUUUGUGCCCCUUAAUUGCACUCAGCAGAGGCAAUUCAUCUGCGAAAAGGAGGACAACGGAGCCUUCGGAAAAAAAAUACACCUGAUAGCAGACACCAGAGUAGACGAUAAGGAAUUCGUCUUAUAUUCGGCUCGUGUCACUUGGGAGGAAGCUGUGCUUCAAUGUCGAAAGGAAAAACUGCAAAUAGCCGAAAUCAAAACCGAAAAUGAGGCGCA